rnacentral:rRNA from 1 species
CUUGCUUCUCUUGAGAGCGGCGGACGGGUGAGUAAUGCCUAGGAAUCUGCCUGGUAGUGGGGGAUAACGUCCGGAAACGGACGCUAAUACCGCAUACGUCCUACGGGAGAAAGCAGGGGACCUUCGGGCCUUGCGCUAUCAGAUGAGCCUAGGUCGGAUUAGCUAGUUGGUGGGGUAAUGGCUCACCAAGGCGACGAUCCGUAACUGGUCUGAGAGGAUGAUCAGUCACACUGGAACUGAGACACGGUCCAGACUCCUACGGGAGGCAGCAGUGGGGAAUAUUGGACAAUGGGCGAAAGCCUGAUCCAGCCAUGCCGCGUGUGUGAAGAAGGUCUUCGGAUUGUAAAGCACUUUAAGUUGGGAGGAAGGGCAGUAAAUUAAUACUUUGCUGUUUUGACGUUACCGACAGAAUAAGCACCGGCUAACUCUGUGCCAGCAGCCGCGGUAAUACAGAGGGUGCAAGCGUUAAUCGGAAUUACUGGGCGUAAAGCGCGCGUAGGUGGUUCGUUAAGUUGGAUGUGAAAUCCCCGGGCUCAACCUGGGAACUGCAUUCAAAACUGACGAGCUAGAGUAUGGUAGAGGGUGGUGGAAUUUCCUGUGUAGCGGUGAAAUGCGUAGAUAUAGGAAGGAACACCAGUGGCGAAGGCGACCACCUGGACUGAUACUGACACUGAGUGCGAAAGCGUGGGGAGCAA